rnacentral:rRNA from 1 species
GACGAACGCUGGCGGCGUGCUUAACACAUGCAAGUCGAACGGAAGGGCCCUGCUUUUGUGGGGUGCUCGAGUGGCGAACGGGUGAGUAACACGUGAGUAACCUGCCCUUGACUUUGGGAUAACUUCAGGAAACUGGGGCUAAUACCGGAUAGGAGCUCCUGCUGCAUAGUGGGGGUUGGAAAGUUUCGGCGGUUGGGGAUGGACUCGCGGCUUAUCAGCUUGUUGGUGGGGUAGUGGCUUACCAAGGCUUUGACGGGUAGCCGGCCUGAGAGGGUGACCGGCCACAUUGGGACUGAGAUACGGCCCAGACUCCUACGGGAGGCAGCAGUGGGGAAUAUUGCACAAUGGGCGGAAGCCUGAUGCAGCAACGCCGCGUGCGGGAUGACGGCCUUCGGGUUGUAAACCGCUUUCGCCUGUGACGAAGCGUGAGUGACGGUAAUGGGUAAAGAAGCACCGGCUAACUACGUG